CAGUCGCCGCGGUAAUACAGAGGGUGCAAGCGUUAAUCGGAAUUACUGGGCGUAAAGCGCGCGUAGGUGGUUUGUUAAGUUGGAUGUGAAAUCCCCGGGCUCAACCUGGGAACUGCAUUGGUGACUGCAACGCUGGAGUGCGGCAGAGGGGGAUGGAAUUCCGCGUGUAGCAGUGAAAUGCGUAGAUAUGCGGAGGAACACCGAUGGCGAAGGCGAUCCCCUGGGCCUGCACUGACGCUCAUGCACGAAAGCGUGGGGAGCAAACAGGAUUAGAUACCCCCGUAGUCCCUGUCUCUUAUAC
rnacentral:rRNA from 1 species